UACGAAGGGGGCUAGCGUUGCUCGGAAUCACUGGGCGUAAAGCGUGCGCAGGCGGUUCGCUGUGUCCGAUGUGAAAGCCCCGGGCUUAACCUGGGAAUGGCAUUGGAAACUGGCGGGCUUGAGUGCGGCAGAGGGGGGUGGAAUUCCGCGUGUAGCAGUGAAAUGCGUAGAGAUGCGGAGGAACACCGAUGGCGAAGGCAGCCCCCUGGGUCGACACUGACGCUCAGGCACGAAAGCAUGGGGAGCGAACGGG
rnacentral:rRNA from 1 species